UACGGAGGGAGCUAGCGUUGUUCGGAAUUACUGGGCGUAAAGCGCGCGUAGGCGGCUUUGUAAGUUAGAGGUGAAAGCCCGGGGCUCAACCCCGGAACUGCCUUUAAAACUGCAUCGCUUGAAUCCGGGAGAGGUGAGUGGAAUUCCGAGUGUAGAGGUGAAAUUCGUAGAUAUUCGGAAGAACACCAGUGGCGAAGGCGGCUCACUGGACCGGCAUUGACGCUGAUGUGCGAAAGCGUGGGGAGCGAACAGG
rnacentral:rRNA from 1 species